rnacentral:rRNA from 1 species
AGAAUCUAGCUUCAGGUCGGGGACAACCACGGGAAACUGUGGCUAAUACCGGAUAUGCCGAGAGGUGAAAGGCUUGCUGCCUGAAGAUGAGCUCGCGUCUGAUUAGCUAGUUGGUGUGGUAAAAGCGCACCAAGGCGACGAUCAGUAGCUGGUCUGAGAGGAUGAUCAGCCACACUGGGACUGAGACACGGCCCAGACUCCUACGGGAGGCAGCAGUGGGGAAUUUUCCGCAAUGGGCGAAAGCCUGACGGAGCAAUACCGCGUGAGGGAGGAAGGCUCUUGGGUUGUAAACCUCUUUUCUCAGGGAAGAAAAAAAUGACGGUACUUGAGGAAUAAGCAUCGGCUAACUCCGUGCCAGCAGCCGCGGUAAUACGGAGGAUGCAAGCGUUAUCCGGAAUGAUUGGGCGUAAAGGGUCCGCAGGUGGCUAUGUAAGUCUGCUGUUAAAGAAUCUAGCUCAACUAGAUAAAAGCAGUGGAAACUACAUAGCUAGAGUGCGUUCGGGGUAGAGGGAAUUCCUGGUGUAGCGGUGAAAUGCGUAGAUAUCAGGAAGAACACCAGUGGCGAAGGCGCUCUACUAGGCCGCAACUGACACUGAGGG